UCUCCAUCCUGGGCCCCAAAGCAGCCCUAACUGUGCCUGGUCCUCCUCCAUCCUGGGCCCGAAAGCAGCCCAUACUGUGUCUGGUCCUCCACCAUCCUGGGCACCAAGAGCCUGGCUGUGCCGGGGCUCCCUUUGGUCUGGGCCAAGAGCAGGCCUCAACUGUGCCAGGCCCCCCUCCAGCCCAGGCCCCAAAGCAGCCCCAACUGUGCCAGGCACCUUUCCAGCUCGGGCCCCAAAGCAGCCCCAACUGUGCCUGCUCCUCCUCCAUCCUGGGCCCCAAAGCAGCCCCAACUGUGUCUGGUCCUCCACCAUCCUGGGCACCAAGAGCCUGGCUGUGCCGGGGCUCCCUUUGGUCUGGGCCAAGAGCAGGCCACAAUUGUGCCAGGCACCUUUCCAGCUCGGGCCCCAAAGCAGCCCCAACUGCGCUUGGUCCUCCUCCAUCCUGGGCCCCAAGGUCCAGGAUGUGCCGGGGCGCCCUUUGGUCUGGGCCCAGAGGAGGCUUCAACUGUGCUAGGCCUCCCUCCAGCUCGGGCCCCCCCAGUGCAACCCCAACUGCACCUGGUCCUCCUCCAUCCUCAACCCCAACACAGCCCCAACUGAGCCUGGUCCUUCUCCAUCCUGGACCCCAAAGCAGCCCCAGCUGUGCCAUGUCCUCCUCCAUCCUGGGACCAAGGGCAGCCCCAACUGUGUCUGGUCCUACUCCAUCCUAGGACCCAAGGCCCAGGCUGUGCCGGGGCUCCCUUUGGUCUGGGAAAAGAGCAGGCCUCAACACUGCCAGGCUACCCUCCAUCCUGGGCCCCAAAGCAGCCCCAACUGUGCCUGCUCCUCCUCCAUCCUAGGCCCCAAAGCCUGGGCAGUGCCGGGGCUCCCUCUGGCUCUGGGCCAAGAGGAG
rnacentral:lncRNA from 1 species